rnacentral:rRNA from 1 species
GACGAACGCUGGCGGCAGGCCUAACACAUGCAAGUCGAGCGAGGACGUCGGUCCUAGCGGCGGAGGGGGGGGGAAGGAGGGGGGACGUGCCCUUUGGUUCGGUACAGCCCUGGGAAACAGAACGUAAUACCGGAGGGGCCCAUAGGGGGUAAGAUUUAUCGGCGAAGGAUCGGGGCGGGUUGGAUUAGGUAGUUGGUGGGGUAAUGGCCUACCAUCAGGACGAUGCUUAGCUGGUGUGAGAGGAAGAUCAGCCACACUGGGACUGAGACACGGCCCAGCCUCCUACGGGAGGCAGCAGUGGGGAAUCUUAGACAAUGGGGGAAGCCCUGAUCUAGCCAUGCCGCGUGAGAGAUGAAGGCCUUAGGGUUGUAAAGCUCUUUCAGCUGGGAAGUUAAUGACGGUACCAGCAGAAGAAGCCCCGGCUAACUCCGUG